UUUAGGAUAAGCUUGACUUUUG
rnacentral:miRNA from 4 species